GGCUGUUGGCGAACUG
rnacentral:miRNA from 1 species